rnacentral:rRNA from 1 species
CAGUAGCCGCGGUAAUACGAAGGGGGCUAGCGUUGUUCGGAUUUACUGGGCGUAAAGCGCACGUAGGCGGAUCUUUAAGUCAGGGGUGAAAUCCCGAGGCUCAACCUCGGAACUGCCUUUGAUACUGGAGAUCUCGAGUCCGGGAGAGGUGAGUGGAACUGCGAGUGUAGAGGUGAAAUUCGUAGAUAUUCGCAAGAACACCAGUGGCGAAGGCGGCUCACUGGCCCGGAACUGACGCUGAGGUGCGAAAGCGUGGGGAGCAAACAGGAUUAGAUACCCCCGUAGUCCCUGUCUCUUAUAA